ACCUGCCCAUUGGAAUCUAAAAGGCCGCGGUAUUAUGACCGUGCUAAGGUAGCAUAAUCAUUAGUCUUUUAAUUGGAGGCUGGUAUGAAUGGUUGGACAAGAAAUAAGCUGUCUUAAAUAAAAAUAUUGAAUUUAACUUUUAAGUGAAAAGGCUUAAAUUUUCUAAGGGGACGAUAAGACCCUAUAAAACUUUAUAUUUUAAAAUAAUAAUUAAUUUUUAUAUAGAAGAUUUAUUUUUAAAUAUUUUAUUGGGGUGAUAAAGAUAAAAUGUGAGAUAACUGUCUUUUUUUUUUACAAUUAAUAUUUGAGUAAAAGAUCUUAACAAAGGAAAUAAGAGAUUAAGUUACUUUAGGGAUAACAGCGUAAUUUUCUUUAAGAGUUCUUAUCGACAAGAAAGUUUGCGACCUCGAUGUUGAAUUAAAAGUUCUUUAUAGAGUAGAUAUUAUAAUAGAGGGUCUGUUCGACCCUUAAAAUUUUACGUG
rnacentral:rRNA from 1 species